ACCAAGGGCAGUUUGGAGGUCAGAAACAAGAUGUAGUCAACGAUGUCAGAUUUCUCUUACUGUCAUAAUUUUGCAGGUGCAGUUCUACCUUUCCAAUACCACAGUUUUUUGCAGGAGUAGAUGGAGUCUUUUUCAUGGUCUACUCCCUGGUGUUAACAACCUUGCUUUUUCCAAUGACUUGAGAGUUCUCCUGCCCAACAAACAGAAGAUAAUUUGCUCUCUGAGGUCUGUUGAAAGAUAAACUUUGGCACAUUAAAAUUUUAGAGUUUAUUUGAACGACAACAAUUCUUGAAUGAGGCAACUCUGAACUGGAAGUGUUUUUUUUUUUUCCAGGACUCCUCUAACAGAGCAUGAGAAGGAAGCUUUUAUAGCAUGAUUGAAGAAGCAAGGCAAAGAAAAUAUUUGAUUGGUUACAGUGGAGGAGUAGCCUUAUUUGGAUCAUUCCAGUGGAAAGUCCAUUGUCAGAGGAAUAAAAGCACUCCUAAUGGAACUGGAGCACAGAGGGUGAACAGAGCUUAUAGCUUCCAUAUAGGCCAGCUGUGGGAUCUCAACACAACAUCCCUGAAGCUGAACCCAGUGGAAAGCCCAGAUGAAGCCUGAGAAGAUGCUCUUCCCUUCUCUCAUUAUGUGGCCCUUGAUCAAGGUAACAAUUUGCAUGCCCUAUAUACAAAUAGGCUGUCCCUCGUAUAGCACCCAUCACACACUGUAAUGUAAUGGCGUAGGUACUAUACUUUGCCUCACCUUCAAUUCUGAAUUUUCUCUUCUGUUCCCUUUUAUGUCUUAUCUUCUUUUUGAAAAACUUAAAUGUGCAAUUUAAAGAGAAAAACGCAUUUUCAUGAAAUAUUGCUAUAAGAGGUGGAUACAAUAAUUGAUAAAGGAAAUUAUAGUUUUCUAGACACAAUAAAUGCCUAGAGAUAUAAUAAAUGCCAAAUUACAAUUUCCCUUAUCAAUUUUUUACUGUAUCACUUUUUGCUAGUUAACUCUAUGCUAAUAAACCUAAGGGCAUACAUGAUAAAAUCUAUUUGAGGCCAGAUUUACAAAACAACUAUGAAAGUUCUAAGUUUUGUCAAGGCUGUAGUGCUUUGUCAAGGCUUGGUAGUGGGCACCAAAUCCGUAGCUGUGGUUUUUUAUGGGAUGUGCAUUUGUACUAAGUUCAUCUCUGGCUUUAAUAUGGCCAUUUUAAGGCCAUAUUCUUGUUUUUCUUUCUCAUCCAUUUUUUUCUAAAUGGAAAUAUCUUUAUUGCUUUAUUCAAUUAUGAAGUUAAUUUGUGUUCCAAGAAACAACAUUCAAAUGAUAUCUAAAAGUGAAGAAGAACCUGAAAUAUCCCAAUAAUCUCACACUGACCUCUACUCCCUGAGAAUGUUGGUGUUCUCAUCAACAAUUAAAAGUCUUUUUGAUUUUCAUGUCAUGUCUAUUUUUAAAAUAUCUUUCUAAGCUGCCAUAAAGUCUUUUGCAAUGUAGUAGUAUACUACUGAAUAAUGGAUGAAAUGUUUUUUAACAUUGCUUUACAAUUUACAAAACGCUUUUCACAGUUUGGUUCAUUUAAUCAUCUUAUCAGCAAAGAUCAAUAGUAUCUUCUAAACCAUGGUCAUUUUAUUGUUGCCAAGAAUCUUGCUGAUUUUUUCUGAUUGAAUUUCAUUUUCUUGCCAGUGCUUUUUUUUUUUUUUUUUUUUUUGGUUGUUAGUGCUCAGCAUCCAGUUAGGAGAAAAACUAAAAGUCAUCAGCCAUUAAUUUGGGGGUCGAAAGUAACAGUUGCUUUCAAAUCAUAUUCUAUGGCCAGGCACAGUGACUUACGCCUGUAAUCCCAGCACUUUGGAAGGCGAGGCAGGUGAUCACUUUGAGACCAGCCUGGCCAACGUGGUGAAACUCCAUCUCUACAAAAAAUACAAAAAUUAGCUGGGCAUGGUGGUGGGUGCCUAUAAUCCUAGCUACUCGGGAGGCUAAGGCACAAGAAUUGCUUGAUCCUGGGAGGCGGAGGUUGCAGUGACCUGAGAUCGUGCCACUAUACUCCAGCAUGGGAGACAGAGCAAGACUCUGUCUCAAAAAAAGUUAUAUCCUAUAUCACAAUUCAUUUUAAUUCUCUGAGGGAUUAUUUUACUAUGUUGUUCAUGAGAGGCAAACCAAGUAGACAAAAUCCUGUGCUCUCAUGUCUUUAUUCUCAUUGUAUGAAUUUCCAGUGCUAUCUGGAGAGUCAAUGUUGAAGUUCUGAUUUUCCAGCAAAACUGAAGGGAAUUCUGUCCAUAUAUGCAAACUGAUAUUUCUUUCAUAAUGAACCAGAGAUAUAAUAAAUGUUACCACCUAUAUAGCUGCUUCUACAGAAACUGAGAAUGAUAGUUCAAAACAGCCCUACUUUCCUUUUGUUUGAACACUGAUUUCAAAUAAAAAUAAAAGUUGGUUAUAAUAAGCAGAAACUCUUGCUAUCCAGAUCCAGUGACAGGUGACAACUGAAAAGUGUACGGUUACUUAGAAAACAGAUGACAGUAAUUUACCCUUCUUGUGUUUGCUAAUGUGAUUUUAUAAAACAUGGACAUCCAGCUUCCAGGACUUAUUUUUGGAGACCUUGAAACACAGUCAAGGAACUUCAGAUGUGAGUUUAGAAUAAGUACACAACUGUACUUGAUCCACCAGUUUUCUAGGUAUGCCUGAGAGCAGAAAGAACGUGAACUGCUAUUGUACUGGAUGAUGUGGUAACAAAGCAAAGCACACUAAAACACACAGAAUAUUUUGCUUUUUGAAGGGCAUACUUUUAUAUAGAUGAAAACCCCUAUAAAAUAUGUUGAAUUAGCUGGCUAACACCUAACUAGUAAACCACAACUACUUCCUCUACCGUAUUUUCGAUUAUGCCUUAGAAACUGCAUAUCAGCACUUUAUAGAAGUAAGGGUUCUGAUCAUUGAAAGAUUCUCACUUUGGCUUCAGGAAGCUGGGCAUAACUAUAGAAUCAGUGUUUAUUCUUCACAGUACCCAUCAAUGUGGUUUGCAUUAGAAUAAAUGUUCAGGCUGGGUGCAGUGGCUUACGCCUGUAAUCCCAGCACUUUGGGAGGUCAAGGUAGGCGGAUCAUGAGGUUAAGAGAUUGAGACCGUCCUGGCCAACAUGGUGAAACCCUGCCUCUACUAAAAAUACAAAAAUUAGCUGGGCGUGGUGGUGCAUGCCUGUAGUCCCAGAUACUUGGGAGGCUGAGGCAGGAGAAUUGCUUGAACCCAGGAGGCAGAGGUUGCAGUGAGUUGAGACGGUUUGUGUCACUGCACUCUAGCCUGGUGACAGAGGGAGACUCUGUCUCAAAACUAACUAAAUAAAUGAAUGAAUAAAUAGUCAAUACAGUUCAUCAAACAUUUAUUGAGUGCCCACUGUAUGGUAGGUACUAAGCAAAAAAGACUGGAACAGAAUGGAAAAAUGACUGGAACAGAAUACUCUGCUCUCAAAGGGCAUAUAUUUUAAUAGAGAACAAAAAUUUUGGAGAUAUACAUUUCUUUCAUAAAUGAAUUUUAUGAAACUUAAUUGUGUGUGCUUUGAAAAAAACAGGGAUCAUAUUCUUUACUUCUUUUACAUAUUUUCAUACCGGCUAACAUAAAAUGGAAACUGAAUAUUUUUGUUGACAGACUAAUUGAAGUAUGGAACACUUGUUGCCCAUUCAGGUAAACAGUUUGAGGUCUCCAGAGCAAAGAAACGGAAUUCCUAUGUCUGUUUUUAAACGUAUUUUUUUUAUUCCUUCAUAAUCUGUUGUCCUUUGCUGUAUUAUUUGGACAAAUCCUUCAACACAUGGAGGAAGAAUGACAAUGUCUUAAAAAGGUUAUUAUUAUAUAAGAUUUUCUGUGUGAUAAAACCACACCCAAUGGGCCUCACCCAGACGAGCUUAUAUAUGUUAUUAGAUUCAGGAAUGUUAAGUGUGUUAGAUUUUGUCCCUGUUGGGCAGUCUAUGACGCAAACAGUGACUCUGAAACAAAGCCAUAAUAUAUGGUUUAAACUCUUAACAGUUUGUGAUGUCAUUUUUUCUGUGGUAAGAAAAACAAAUGCUGUCACAUUUUAUAUUUGAGACUCCUGUAAGCCAACAUCAAGAGAUUAAGUAUGCGCA
ensembl:lncRNA